GACAGAGGGUGCGAACGUUGCUCGGAAUUACUGGGCGUAAAGCGUGUGUAGGCGGCCACGCAAGUCGGAUGUGAAAGCCCUGGGCUCAACCCAGGAAGUGCACCCGAUACUGCGACGGCUUGAGUACCGGAGAGGUUGGUGGAAUUCUCGGUGUAGAGGUGAAAUUCGUAGAUAUUCGGAAGAACACCAGUGGCGAAGGCGACUUACUGGACGAUUGUUGACGCUGAGGUGCGAAAGCGUGGGGAGCAAACAGG
rnacentral:rRNA from 1 species